AAAGCUCAAAUUUGAAAUCUGGCAGUUUCUUGAACUGUCCGAAUUGUAAUCUAGAGAAGUGUUACCUGUGCUGGACCAUGUACAAGUCUCCUGGAAUGGAGCAUCACAGAGGGUGAGAAUCCCGUCUUUGACAUGGACUGCCUGUGCGAUAUGGUGCGCUCUCGAAGAGUCGAGUUGUUUGGGAAUGCAGCUCAAAAUGGGUGGUAAAUGCCAUCUAAAGCUAAAUAUUGGCGAGAGACCGAUAGCGAA
rnacentral:rRNA from 1 species